rnacentral:lncRNA from 1 species
ACUGCACACAUUAGACGGGUCUGACACAAGCACUCUUAACAUAACAGGAAGUCACAUUAGACCAACCACAUAGAGGCUUACUGGAAGCUUCUCAAUAGGAGAGGCAGCAACAUGAAGCUACAAAAAUCCAGCAGAGGAAUGUACUCUUGCUUUACUUUUAAUUUCAGAUAGUUGUUUAUGAAAAUGCGGACACUGUAUUUUGUUGUUCAAGCCUUUUCUAAAGUUGUGAUUUAUGAAUGGCUGGCAAAAUUGGUUUGUUUCUAGUUAUGAAAUGCUCGACGUGGAAGAACAGAGGCAAGCCUUGAUUCCUCCACAUCUUCUCUCAUCGCCUCCUCAAAACAUAUUUGUGAAGGUCUGAGGGGAGGGACCUUGGAACUUCUUCUCCUAUACGGUUGAGAAGGAGGUGAGUACAUAGGAUGCUAGGAAUUGAGAUAGGGCCAUUUUAAGUACUGUGUCAUGGGCAUCCUAAUGUUUCAGAUGGUAUAUUAAGUCCAUUCAAGAUAAAGUCUUAUAAUCUCCUUUAUCUAUUAGCAGCAAUCAGAUAAUCUGAUUACGGUGGAAUAACUGGAAUCGCAUGAGACCGUUAUGGCUGCAGACACAAUUGAUGUGGAAAUAUCUGCAUUGGACCAGAUAGCCCUCCGGUCCUUAAUAGAAGAACAUCUUCUUUCAUCAACAGGUUACAUAUUAUAACCAGUGGUGUUAAUUCAUGGUUGCAAAUAUUUGACCAAUAAA